GGGCGGGUGGCGGAAUUGGCAGACGCGUACGGCUCAGGACCGUAUGGACGAAAGUCCUUAAGGGUUCAAGUCCCUUUCCGCCCA
rnacentral:tRNA from 1 species